rnacentral:rRNA from 1 species
AUUGAACGCUGGCGGCAUGCCUUACACAUGCAAGUCGAACGGUAACAGGUCUUCGGAUGCUGACGAGUGGCGAACGGGUGAGUAAUACAUCGGAACGUGCCCGAUCGUGGGGGAUAACGGAGCGAAAGCUUUGCUAAUACCGCAUACGAUCUACGGAUGAAAGCAGGGGACCGCAAGGCCUUGCGCGGACGGAGCGGCCGAUGGCAGAUUAGGUAGUUGGUGGGAUAAAAGCUUACCAAGCCGACGAUCUGUAGCUGGUCUGAGAGGACGACCAGCCACACUGGGACUGAGACACGGCCCAGACUCCUACGGGAGGCAGCAGUGGGGAAUUUGGACAAUGGGCGCAAGCCUGAUCCAGCCAUGCCGCGUGCAGGAUGAAGGCCUUCGGGUUGUAAACUGCUUUGUACGGAACGAAAGACUCUUUCUAAUAAAGAGGGUCCAUGACGGUACCGUAAGAAUAAGCACCGGCUAACUACGUGCCAGCAGCCGCGGUAAAACCCG